AUUGAACGCUGGCGGCAUGCUUUACACAUGCAAGUCGAACGGCAGCGCGGGCUUCGGCCUGGCGGCGAGUGGCGAACGGGUGAGUAAUGCAUCGGAACGUGCCCAGUAGUGGGGGAUAGCCCGGCGAAAGCCGGAUUAAUACCGCAUACGACCUGAGGGUGAAAGCGGGGGACCGAAAGGCCUCGCGCUAUUGGAGCGGCCGAUGUCGGAUUAGCUAGUUGGUGGGGUAAAGGCUUACCAAGGCGACGAUCCGUAGCUGGUCUGAGAGGACGACCAGCCACACUGGGACUGAGAGACGGCCCAGACUCCUACGGGAGGCAGCAGUGGGGAAUUUUGGACAAUGGGGGCAACCCUGAUCCAGCCAUGCCGCGUGCGGGAAGAAGGCCUUCGGGUUGUAAACCGCUUUUGUUCGGGAAGAAAACCUCUGGGCUAAUACCCCGGGGGGAUGACGGUACCGGAAGAAUAAGCACCGGCUAACUACGUG
rnacentral:rRNA from 1 species